rnacentral:tRNA from 1 species
GCCUGGGUGGCUCAGCCGGUUAAGCACCUGACUUCAGCUCAGGUCAUGAUCUCCCAGUUUGUGGGUUUGAGCCCCGCAUUGGGUG